rnacentral:lncRNA from 1 species
CCGUGUUCCCGACCGAAUGGGGGUUUACAUUUUCACCCUCUACCAGCCCUUCCUCGUCUAUGUCUUCAGGGAUGUCAUCCAAAUCAAGGUCAUUGAAAUCAUCGUUUGGAUCACGGUGGGACUGAUCAUCAUUAUCAGACCCUUCAUCACCAUAUUCUAUGGUGGCCAACACCUCUGGAUGGAUCUAUAGACGAGGACACGGGUUUGGGAUGUUAUACGAACAUCCGCCGGUAUUUGGAUUUUCG